GAUGAACGCUGGCGGCGUGCCUAAUACAUGCAAGUCGAACGGGGUGUUUGAGCAAUCGAAUACUUAGUGGCGAACGGGUGAGUAACGCGUUGGUGACCUGCCCCGAAGCGGGGGAUAACAGUCCGAAAGGAUUGCUAAUACCCCAUGUGGUCUUUUGGAUUAGAUGCCAGAUGACUAAAGGAGUAAUUCACUUCGGGAGGGGCCUGCGUCCCAUCAGCUAGUUGGUAGGGUAACGGCCUACCAAGGCGAUGACGGGUAGGGGACCUGAGAGGGUGACCCCCCACACUGACACUGAAAUACGGGUCAGACACCUACGGGAGGCAG
rnacentral:rRNA from 1 species